rnacentral:rRNA from 3 species
AGAGUUUGAUCCUGGCUCAGGAUGAACGCUGGCGGCGUGCCUAAUACAUGCAAGUCGAACGCUUCACUUCGGUGAAGAGUGGCGAACGGGUGAGUAAUACAUAAGUAACCUGGCAUCUACAGGGGGAUAACUGAUGGAAACGUCAGCUAAGACCGCAUAGGUGUAGAGAUCGCAUGAACUCUAUAUGAAAAGUGCUACGGGACUGGUAGAUGAUGGACUUAUGGCGCAUUAGCUGGUUGGUAGGGUAACGGCCUACCAAGGCGACGAUGCGUAGCCGACCUGAGAGGGUGACCGGCCACACUGGGACUGAGACACGGCCCAGACUCCUACGGGAGGCAGCAGUAGGGAAUUUUCGGCAAUGGGGGAAACCCUGACCGAGCAACGCCGCGUGAAGGAAGAAGUAAUUCGUUAUGUAAACUUCUGUCAUAGAGGAAGAACGGUGGAUAUAGGGAAUGAUAUCCAAGUGACGGUACUCUAUAAGAAAGCCACGGCUAACUACGUGCCAGCAGCCGCGGUAAUACGUAGGUGGCGAGCGUUAUCCGGAAUUAUUGGGCGUAAAGAGGGAGCAGGCGGCACUAAGGGUCUGUGGUGAAAGAUCGAAGCUUAACUUCGGUAAGCCAUGGAAACCGUAGAGCUAGAGUGUGUGAGAGGAUCGUGGAAUUCCAUGUGUAGCGGUGAAAUGCGUAGAUAUAUGGAGGAACACCAGUGGCGAAGGCGACGAUCUGGCGCAUAACUGACGCUCAGUCCCGAAAGCGUGGGGAGCAAAUAGGAUUAGAUACCCUAGUAGUCCACGCCGUAAACG